AUUGAACGCUGGCGGCAUGCUUUACACAUGCAAGUCGAACGGUAACAGGCCUUCGGGUGCUGACGAGUGGCGAACGGGUGAGUAAUGCAUCGGAACGUGCCCAGAGGUGGGGGAUAACGCAGCGAAAGCUGUGCUAAUACCGCAUGUGAUCUGAGGAUGAAAGCGGGGGACCAGGCAGCAAUGUUUGGCCUCGCGCCUUUGGAGCGGCCGAUGUCAGAUUAGGUAGUUGGUGGGGUAAAGGCCUACCAAGCCGACGAUCUGUAGCUGGUCUGAGAGGACGACCAGCCACACUGGGACUGAGACACGGCCCAGACUCCUACGGGAGGCAGCAGUGGGGAAUUUUGGACAAUGGGCGCAAGCCUGAUCCAGCAAUGCCGCGUGCGGGAAGAAGGCCUUCGGGUUGUAAACCGCUUUUGUACGGAACGAAAAGGCUCUGGCUAAUACCUGGGGCUGAUGAAGGUACCGUAAGAAUAAGCACCGGCUAACUACGUG
rnacentral:rRNA from 1 species